CCAGCGCCCCGGGCAUUCUGGAGAUGACAAUGGAAAGACUUCUGUGUCUUGAGGCCUGGAACCAGGUCUAGAGGGAGGCCUUAUGCUAGACCGUCCCCCCAGGGGUGGAGCAGCGGACAGCACCCAGUUCUGAUGGGUUUUCUGAGCAUGACUAAGCCUCCGCAUCCGUUUGGAAAGUGGCUCAUUUGAGCCUGCCCUGGCCCCUGAAGAUUCAGAAUACAUAUUUACAGUUCACCCCCCCAGAUCAGUGCCUGGCAUGCUGUGGUGGCCCUAAGAAGGUCUGCUGCAGAAUCAGGUGAAUGAAUGAAACACGAGACUGUACCGCAUGAGUUGCUGGGGUCACAAAUGAGCCUCCCUGUGGCACCCCACAGCCCGCGUCUCUUGCCUCUCUGUAUAAGCAGGAGUUGGGGUCCUUUGCUGUUCCUGGCACUCGAUGAGGAAAUUGUGGUGCAGAAAGCCGGGGUAACCGGCCCAAGAAAGCAGAGCUGGCCAGUGGCCCAGGCGGGGCUGACGUUCGGUUCUCAGAGUCUGGAGCUUGUGCCCCUACCUCCAUCCUGUCCAGGAGCCCGAGGCACCUGACUCGACCUGGCUCCAGUGGAGACGUGAGACUCUGCCCUGCUCCAGCAGGGCUCCUGGGAGUUGAGACCAGAACCCAGGAUCCUGCCUCCACCCAGGGGCUCUUCCUGCUCUAGGACUGGAGUCUUCAGAUGGCUCCAUUUGGGAUGGUGGGUCUUAUCAGGGGGCUCGGCACAUGCCAUACAGCAGGCUGGGGUGCCAACAAUUCUGCAGAGUGCCCACCUGUACGUCCAGGCCUUCUUGCAAGGUGUUUGCUGAGAUAAAACCUCCCUCCAAUGGGAGAAAGCCUAAAAAGGGACCCCCUGCCCCCCUCGCAGCAUCCUACUGUGGGGAAAGUGGGCGGGUAGUCAAUCUCACAAAAGGACACUCUUUCAGCCCCCACCUACCCUCUGGCCUUGAAAUCGCCUGUGAGCUAUUCCCCAGCAGCAGAGACACUGGGUGCUGGCUUAGUCCACACUCAGAAGGGGGAAAAGGGGGGGCUCCCAGGACAGGGUGACUGAUAAGGCACUUCCCUUUUGGGGCAUGCUGGGCCCGCACUCCUCAUGUGUUCUAGAUAAAGGCGCCCACGUGGCUGUUGCACAUAAAUGUGUUUUCUCCAAGAUAAUAGGACUUCUGCCUCAUAACUUGCCUCCAUCUAAGGUUGGUUCUUGUUGGCUGGUCUCAGGGUGAAGCUAAGGAGAGGAGACUUACCUGAGUUUAUCUUGCUUAUUGACAAUCUGCUUCUGUCUGUCCCACCCCUACAAUGUAAACCGUAAUGCUAUGAUAGGUUUGCGUAUAAACGAAUGCUAAAGGUCACGUACUUGAAUCCUGUUACUAUAUAGUUUAGCUAUCGACUGGCUACUCCUAAAACCCAGAUGCCCCACAGUCAAAGGAAUUUUGCACUUUCA